ACAUUUGUAGAUAGAUUAGCUUGGAUCUUGAUCCUAUAUAUAAAUUAUUUUGUAGGAUAACCCUAAAGGAUCUAGGGGAUAUAACUUCUAUCAUAUUAAAGAACAAGAGUUGUUCAUCAUUCUUUUCAAAAAGGAGUAUCUUGGUGAAGAUACUGAUGCCUUUAAUAUAGAAUUUAUGAAGUUCGAUAGGUAGAAAAACUGACACAAUCUAGAGAACCCAU
rnacentral:lncRNA from 1 species